rnacentral:rRNA from 1 species
CGUAGAAGACUAGUGUUAUUCAUCUUUAAUAGGUUUAAAGGGUACCUAGACGGUAAAUUAGUCUAAAUAUGAUACGGUUUACUAGAGUUAUAUAUAAGGAGGUGAAUAUUUAAGGAGUAGAGUUGAAAUUCAGUCAUACCUUAAGGACUGGUAAUGGCGAAAGCAACCUUUUAUCUAAUAACUGACGUUGAGGGACGAAGGCUCGGGUAGCGAACAGGAUU